rnacentral:rRNA from 1 species
AGUGAACGCUGGCGGUAGGCCUAACACAUGCAAGUCGAACGGCAGCACAGUAAGAGCUUGCUCUUACGGGUGGCGGGUGGCGGACGGGUGAGGAAUACAUCAGAAUCUACUUUUUCGUGGGGGAUAACGUAGGGAAACUUACGCUAAUACCGCAUACGACCUACGGGUGAAAGCAGGGGAUCUUCGGACCUUGCGCGAUUGAAUGAGCCGAUGUCGGAUUAGCUAGUUGGCGGGGUAAAGGCCCACCAAGGCGACGAUCCGUAGCUGGUCUGAGAGGAUGAUCAGCCACACUGGAACUGAGACACGGUCCAGACUCCUACGGGAGGCAGCAGUGGGGAAUAUUGGACAAUGGGCGCAAGCCUGAUCCAGCCAUACCGCGUGGGUGAAGAAGGCCUUCGGGUUGUAAAGCCCUUUUGUUGGGAAAGAAAAGCAGCAGGUUAAUACCCCGCUGUUCUGACGGUACCCAAAGAAUAAGCACCGGCUAACUUCGUG